UUUCUACUUGGACAACUGUGGCAAUUCUAGAGCUAAUACAUGCAUUGAGCCUGAAGGCCUUUGGCUGACGGGCGCUUUUAUUAGACCAAGACCCAUCGGGUUCUGCCCGUACUCUGUGGUGACUCUGGAUAACUUUGUGCAGAUCGCAUGGCCAUGAGCCGGCGACGUUUCUUUCAAGUGUCUGCCUUAUCAACUUUCGAUGGUAGGUUACUUGCCUACCAUGGUUGUUACGGGUAACGGAGAAUCAGGGUUCGAUUCCGGAGAGGGAGCCUGAGAAACGGCUACCACAUCCAAGGAAGGCAGCAGGCGCGCAAAUUACCCACUCCCGGCACGGGGAGGUAGUGACGAAAAAUAACAAUACGGGACUCUUUUGAGGCCCCGUAAUUGAAAUGAGUACACUCUAAAUCCUUUAACGAGGAUCAAUUGGAGGGCAAGUCUGGUGCCAGCAGCCGCGGUAAUUCCAGCUCCAAUAGCGUAUACUAAAGCUGCUGCGGUUAAAAAGCUCGUAGUUGGAUCUCAGUUCCAGACGAGUAGUGCAUCUACCCGAUGCGACGGCUCGGACUGAACAUCAUGCCGGUCCUCUCUUGGUGCCCUUCAUUGGUGCGUCUCGAGGAGGCCGG
rnacentral:rRNA from 1 species